CCACCCCGCACCACCCCGAACGCGCCGGAUCCCGUCUGAUCUUGGGAGCUACGCAGGACUGGCCUGGUUAGUGCUUGGGUGGGAGAAUGCAGGACUCAGGGGGGU
rnacentral:rRNA from 1 species